rnacentral:rRNA from 2 species
UGUAGCAAGUCGAGCGGACAGAAGGGAGCUUGCUCCCGGAUGUUAGCGGCGGACGGGUGAGUAACACGUGGGUAACCUGCCUGUAAGACUGGGAUAACUCCGGGAAACCGGAGCUAAUACCGGAUAGUUCCUUGAACCGCAUGGUUCAAGGAUGAAAGACGGUUUCGGCUGUCACUUACAGAUGGACCCGCGGCGCAUUAGCUAGUUGGUGGGGUAAUGGCUCACCAAGGCGACGAUGCGUAGCCGACCUGAGAGGGUGAUCGGCCACACUGGGACUGAGACACGGCCCAGACUCCUACGGGAGGCAGCAGUAGGGAAUCUUCCGCAAUGGACGAAAGUCUGACGGAGCAACGCCGCGUGAGUGAUGAAGGUUUUCGGAUCGUAAAGCUCUGUUGUUAGGGAAGAACAAGUGCGAGAGUAACUGCUCGCACCUUGACGGUACCUAACCAGAAAGCCACGGCUAACUACGUGCCAGCAGCCGCGGUAAUACGUAGGUGGCAAGCGUUGUCCGGAAUUAUUGGGCGUAAAGGGCUCGCAGGCGGUUUCUUAAGUCUGAUGUGAAAGCCCCCGGCUCAACCGGGGAGGGUCAUUGGAAACUGGGAAACUUGAGUGCAGAAGAGGAGAGUGGAAUUCCACGUGUAGCGGUGAAAUGCGUAGAGAUGUGGAGGAACACCAGUGGCGAAGGCGACUCUCUGGUCUGUAACUGACGCUGAGGAGCGAAAGCGUGGGGAGCGAACAGGAUUAGAUACCCUGGUAGUCCACGCCGUAAACGAUGAGUGCUAAGUGUUAGGGGGUUUCCGCCCCUUAGUGCUGCAGCUAACGCAUUAAGCACUCCGCCUGGGGA